AUUGAACGCUGGCGGCAUGCCUUACACAUGCAAGUCGAACGGUAACAGGUCUUCGGAUGCUGACGAGUGGCGAACGGGUGAGUAAUACAUCGGAACGUGCCCGAUCGUGGGGGAUAACGAAGCGAAAGCUUUGCUAAUACCGCAUAAGAUCUACGGAUGAAAGCAGGGGACCGCAAGGCCUUGCGCGAACGGAGCGGCCGAUGGCAGAUUAGGUAGUUGGUGGGAUAAAAGCUUACCAAGCCGACGAUCUGUAGCUGGUCUGAGAGGACGACCAGCCACACUGGGACUGAGGCACGGCCCAGACUCCUACGGGAGGCAGCAGUGGGGAAUUUUGGACAAUGGGCGAAAGCCUGAUCCAGCCAUGCCGCGUGCAGGAUGAAGGCCUUCGGGUUGUAAACUGCUUUUGUACGGAACGAAAAGACUCUUUCUAAUAAAGAGGGUCCAUGACGGUACCGUAAGAAUAAGCACCGGCUAACUACGUGCCAGCAGCCGCCGUAA
rnacentral:rRNA from 1 species